rnacentral:rRNA from 1 species
GAUGAACGCUGGCGGCGUGCCUAAUACAUGCAAGUCGAGCGAACACAUCAGGAGCUUGCUCCUCUGACGUUAGCGGCGGACGGGUGAGUAACACGUGGAUAACCUACCUCUAAGACUGGGAUAACUUCGGCAAACCGGAGCUAAUACCGGAUAAUAUAUUGAACCGCAUGGUUCAAUAGUUAAAGUCGGUUUUUCUGGCACUUAUAGAUGGAUCCGCGCCGCAUUAGCUAGUUGGUAAGGUAACGGCUUACCAAGGCAACGAUGCGUAGCCGACCUGAGAGGGUGAUCGGCCACACUGGAACUGAGACAGGGUCCAGACUCCGACGGGAGGCAGCAGUAGGGAAUCUUCCGCAAUGGGCGAAAGCUUGACGGAGCAACGCCGCGUGAGUGAUGAAGGUCUUCGGAUCGUAAAACUCUGUUAUUAGGGAAGAACAAAUGUGUAAGUAACUAUGCACGUAUUGACGGUACCUAAUCAGAAAGCCACGGCUAACUACGUG